rnacentral:rRNA from 1 species
UACGUAGGGAGCAAGCGUUGUCCGGAAUCAUUGGGCGUAAAGCGCGCGUAGGUGGCCUCGUAAGUCCGCUGUGAAAGUCAAAGGCUCAACCUUUGAAAGCCGGUGGAUACUGUGAGGCUAGAGUACGGAAGAGGCGAGUGGAAUUCCUGGUGUAGCGGUGGAAUGCGCAGAUAUCAGGAGGAACACCAAUAGCGAAGGCAGCUCGCUGGGACGUAACUGACACUGAGGCGCGAAAGCUAGGGGAGCAAACGGG